rnacentral:lncRNA from 1 species
CUGUACUACCACUUUCAAGUCUCCUUCAGAUCUCUCUCCCAUUUGCUGAAUUUAUCUCUGGUAGAAAUCUGGUCUGGUCUUUUGCAAAAUCAGAGCAUGUGGGAUACUUUCAAAAAUCACAAACAAAUAGUUUCUGCUUUGUUCUUUUUCCUGAAAAUACUGGAAAACAAAAACUGGUUGUGAGAGACCAGAGAAGGAGCAUAGCUCAUUUCCUUAGAUGAGACCUUUUUUUUUUUUUUUUAACAGGACCACCUGAAUUGUUGUCCUAAAGAUGUCAGCUCUUAAUUGAAGUCAGGGAAGUCUAGACUAGGGGAGGAGCAAGGAGGCUAAGCCAGUUUUAAUUGGUGUAAAUUUGCAGCCACCAGUGAUUAGAGGUGGCUGUGUGAGGAGCACCAGGAGAGAUAAAGGGUUUGAAGGGAGACUAUGGGCCUCUCCAGGUCCUGUCAUCCCUUCUGAAAAGGGGGAUUUGUUAUCACCAGGUGCCAUUGUUACUGCUUUCCCUCUCAGUAACCAAAUCUAAUAGCUGUCCUGCCUUUCGUAUUGCUGUAUGGAUUUAAAUGUCUCUUUAGGAAAAUUUUUCACAGCCUUGGUUGACAAAACAUUGUGUGUGGAUGACCCAGCAAAGUUGACAUCUGUCUAAAACUGCAUUUUCAUGAAUCACAAACUGGAGACUGAAGCUUGUGCGUUCCUUAAGCCUGGAGUGUGCUUGGAUCUCUGGCUUGGUUUAUUCCCACAUCCUGAUUUAAUUGUUAACUUAAGGUACAGGUGUCUUGACUCUGUUACUGAAUCCACAAGGUGGAAGAAGUCCAAGGCUGAAUGGAGCAUCAUUCCCCAGCAACUCGUACCAGAUGUUAAAGAAAUGAAUAGAAAUGAAAGUCAGCAUUCCCUGGGACAAAAGUAUCAAGGUAUUUCCUAGGCUUUUGUUUCGUUGUUUGAAAGCUUUUGUGUGUCCUGUGUUUUGGUUAUUGACAGUUUUUCACUUCAGUCUGAGAGAUAGGAGGACAGUUUGCACUGUAGAUGGCUGUUAUUAAUUAAAAUGAGGAAUGAUGACAUUAAAACCAGAAAUGGUGAGUCCAGUCACAAGGAUGAGUGUUAGGAGAAGAGGGGUGGUUAAUGUUGAGCCCUCUGUUGCCAGCAUGUCGGUCACCAGCUUGUCGUGUGCAGGCUUUGACAGUCAACUGCAGUAGGACAGAGCUUCUGAUUCUGCCCCACAGCUUCGUUACAUGAGCCCCACCAGGGCUACACAUACACGUCUUAAUUUUGAAAAGCUGUCAUGCUUUCCAUGACCUUUCUGAAAUCCUUUUUCUGCUGAUCUUCAACUGGUUGUUACCACGUUGCAGGUGCUUCUUGUGGGCUCUUAAA